rnacentral:snRNA from 1 species
AGAGCACCGCACGUCGCG